AUUGAACGCUGGCGGCGUGCUUAACACAUGCAAGUCGAUCGGUAACAGGUGUAGCAAUACAUGCUGACGAGAGGCGGACGGGUGAGGAACGCUUGGGAAUCUGCCUAUCAGCGGGGGACAACCCGGGGAAACCCGGGCUAAUACCGCAUACGCUCUACGGAGGAAAGCCGGGGACCGCAAGGCCUGGCACUGAGAGAUGAGCCCAAGUCGGAUUAGCUAGUUGGCGGGGUAACGGCCCACCAAGGCGACGAUCCGUAGCUGGUCUGAGAGGACGAUCAGCCACACCGGAACUGAGACCCGGUCCGGACUCCUACGGGAGGCAGCAGUGGGGAAUAUUGGACAACGGGCGAAAGCCUGAUCCAGCGACGCCGCGUGGGUGAAGAAGGCCUGCGGGUUGUAAAGCCCUUUCGGUAGGGACGAAAGCUCUUGCCCUAACAAGGCAGGAGGUUGGCUUAACCUACAUAAGAAGCACCGGCUAACUCUGUGCCAGCAGCCGCAGUAAUAC
rnacentral:rRNA from 1 species